ensembl:misc_RNA Metazoa_SRP Metazoan signal recognition particle RNA
GCUGGGCGUGGUGACUCACGCCUGUAAUCCCAGCACAUUGGGAGGCUGAGGCAGGUGGAUCACCUGAGGUCAGGAGUUCCAGACGAGCCUGGCCAACAUGGCGAAACCCUGUCUCUA